AUAGAAGUUAGCCUGCAGCAAAAACAAACAGACCCCAAGGUCUAGGUCACUGCUUUGUGGCUGACAAUCAUCUGAUCUGCCCUUGAGCGCAAAUGGAAAGUCUGGACUCAGAACUGCAGCCAUCACUGAUGCUGCGGAUGCUUGAUGGGGAUAAAUGGAGAAAGCCUAAGAGGCUGCAGGCUCUGAGACUGGCUGUGGCCCCAGAUUCUGGCUCAGCAGACAGAGCGCUUAGGCUGCCCUCACUUGACCUGACUGGAGCGACCAUCUUCCACCCUAUGGAGGCUGCCGGCCACUGAGGGCCCCGGGGCGCAGGCAGAGCUGCUGUGAGCUGGGGUGAGAAGGAGAAACUGGCUGUGAGGGGCUGCUGUGCUGUCCUGUCUACCUGCCAUCCUGAGUGUUUGGGAAGCAGCUGGCAAAUGGCUCUGUCUUCAGGCCUCCAACUUGUGGAAGGUGUGUGUGGCAGCCCUGAGUGGGGUUGUGGGAGGAAUGGGGGCUUUCAUGUCUUGGGUGUUUCUUGAUCUCCACAACACCCUGCGAGGUGAUGCUAUUGUAUCCAUUUCCACAGCUGGGGAAGUUGAAGCGUGGAGAGAUUAAGUGUCCAGCCUAAGGCUACAGAGCAAGUGGGCAAAUUGAAAUUUGACCCCAGAACUCUGACUCCAAAGCCUGUGCUCACUCCAUUCUACCGAGCAGCCUCCAAGGAGCACCAGAGGAAGUCGUCGCCGCACCUGGCAGCCUUUCCAUCCUGGGGAAGAAGGGCCACGUCCCGGGCCAUGUCAGGCAGGAGGCCCACAGGAGCCAGCCCUUGCGUGGACCACUGGAUGGAGCCACCACCACAGAAGGGAGAUCUCGUUAUACCAUUCAUUGUCAGAUCAUCUCCCAGGAGCCUCAUUCCUGGGCCCGGGAGGCAGCAUGCUGGUCCAGAUGGGCAAAGCCAGCUGGUCCGCCCUAUCCAAGCCUGUGGCUUCCCUAGUGAGGAGCGUUUUUGUCCAGGCCUCUGUCUGAACUCUGAAUCAAUUCUCAGCUCAUAGAUUUAUGGUGUCCUUGCAGAGUAGCUGCUACCACCUGCCUGGACUCCUGCUGACAAGACACCAGCCACAGUGCAGACAGGACAGCUCACACCUGGAGCAUCGCACCCCUAAGCACAAGGGGCCAGGAUGGUCAGCUCGUGUCAGCCAAGGCCACAAGUCUUUCCAGGAGACUUGGCCGAACUUAAACCAUAAAU
rnacentral:lncRNA from 1 species